GCUCUCGUAGUUCAACGGAUAGAAUUCAGGUUUGCGGUACCUGCGAUUGAGGUUCGAUUCCUCACGAGAGCAC
rnacentral:tRNA from 1 species